CUCACUAGGCGACUCAAACUCUUCCUACCGCAGAUCAUUUCCAAAUCCCAAUCAGCUUUCGUCUCGGGUCUUGCGAUUGCCGAUAAUGUGCUGAUCACCCAUGAGACGCUCCACUUUCUAUGGACAUCUGAGGCAAUGAAAUUUUGUUCCAUGGCGGUAAAGACGGACAUGAGCAAAGCCUAUGACCGGAUCGAGUGGAAUU
rnacentral:lncRNA from 1 species